CCACCACACCUGUACCAGUGUCCACCACAGCUGUACCUGUGUGCACCACACCUGUACCAGUGUCCACCACACCCGUAUCUGUGUCCACCACACCUCUGCCUGUGCGCACCACACCUGUACCUGUGUCCACCAUGUCCAUACCUGUGUCCACCAUGCCCGUACGUGUGUCCAGCACACCUGUGCCUGUGUGCACAACACCUGUACCAGUGUCCACCACACCUGUACCAGUGUCCACCACAGCUGUACCUGUGUGCACCACACCUGUACCAGUGUCCACCAUACCUGUACCAGUGUCCACCACACCUGUACCAGUGUCCACCACACCUGUGCCUGUGUCCAGCACCCCGGUACCUCUGUACAACACACCUGUGCCUGUGUGCACAACACCUAUACUCGUGUCCACCAUGCCCAUACCUGUGUCCACCACACCUAUACUCAUGUCCACCACACCUGUAUCUGGGCCCACCAUGUCCGUACCUGUGUCCAGCACACCUGUACCUGUUUCCACCACCCCUGUACCUGUGUCCACCGUGUCCGUAUGUGUGUCCACCCUGUCCGUACCUGUGUCCAGCACACCUGUACCUGUGUCCAGCACCCCUGUACCUGUGUCCAACAUUCAAUGUCUUCCACACAUUCUCAACUGGGAGCACUGGGAACAUCCCAGUUCCCGGUCACAGUCCCCCAUGACCACCGGCCAUCAGCACUUUGGCGACUGAUUUUGUCCCUUUGGCCACUGAUUUUUGUCCCUUUGGCCACUGAUUUUGUUCCUUUGGCCACUGAUUUUGUUCCUUUGGCCACCCUUUUGUCCCUCCAGCCCCGUGCCCCUACCUGUGCCCACCCCCGCUGCGCCCUUCAGCGCACUGAACUGGGAGCACUGGGAAUCCCUCUGUGUGUCCCACCAGUCACAGCCCCUUGACCUCCAGCCAUCAGCACUUUGGCCACUGAUUUUGUCCCUUUGGCCACCCUUUUGUCCCUCUGCCCCCGCGCCUGUACCUGUGCCCACCUGUGCCUGUGUGUCCCCCGUUCCCUCCUGUCACACACGACCCGAGCGUGUUGGUGUCACCCCUCCCCACCUGUGACACAGGUGGUGACAGACCCCCCCGAGUGUCACACACCCACCCAAAAUCAGCGAGUUCCAUUUUUCUGGGUUUUGCUCUUUUUGCUGUGUUACUGAGGCGAUGUUACGGCUCACCGGGGCUGACCCCAAAUUUAUGUCACCCCACGCUGGUUUUGCGGGUCCCCCACCUCGUGAGGGGCUUCUGGGGGUGAUCCCCCACCUUGGGGAGGUCCCGUGGGUGGAUUUUGGGGACAUCACCCCGGGCGUGGGGGGCGUGAACCCCAAAGCAGAGG
rnacentral:lncRNA from 1 species